rnacentral:rRNA from 1 species
AUUGAACGCUGGCGGCAGGCCUAACACAUGCAAGUCGCACGAGUGGCGGACGGGUGAGUAAUGUCUGGGAAACUGCCUGAUGGAGGGGGAUAACUACUGGAAACGGUAGCUAAUACCGCAUACCAUCAGAUGUGCCCAGAUGGGAUUAGCUAGUAGGGUGGGUAACGGCUCACCUAGGCGACGAUCCCUAGCUGGUCUGAGAGGAUGACAAGCCACACUGGAACUGAGACACGGUCCAGACUCCUACGGGAGGCAGCAGUGGGGAAUAUUGCACAAUGGGGGCAAGCCUGAUGCAGCCAGGCCGCGUGUAUGAAGAAGGCCUUAGGGUUGGAAAGUACUUUCAGCGGGGAGGCGUUACCCGCAGAAGAAGCACCGGCUAACUCCGUGCCAGCAGCCGCGGUAAUUC